ACAUAAGCUACGUCGUUUUCAUGCCUAAAUGCAGAAUGCCUAGUUAGAACAAAGAGGAGAUCUGGGACGUGAAUUAAGAUCUUCUCUGCAUAUUGCAGGAAACAUAAAUUUUUCAGUUGCCAAUUUAUGUUCGCAUUACGGGUGUGAAUAUUUGAAGGUCUUGGGUGCUCCAAGCUUUGAUUUAGAUCAUUUUGGGUGACACGCACGGUCAGAAAUAUUUUGUGAGGAUGAAUAGAAAAUUUGGUGGUGGAAGGCAACCGAUUGGGACUCCUUCACUGGCUUGGUCCAGUGUGGUUGUUGUCUGCUCUCUUCUUGCCGGUGCUUCUGUUGUUCACAAUAUCUAUAAGCCUAAUCUUACAUUGCCUCCUGUUGAUGGAGUUGAUGGGACCAAGCAGAAACCUGAUGGAAAAGAAUGAUCAUCUUAAUCCCUUUUAGUAUCCUUAGAUACCAAGCUUUGGGGCUUAAAGUUAAUUGCCAGUAGUCUGAUAAACAAAACUACAAAAGAUUCAAUUUGAAUGAGAAUGUUAUUUCAUUCCUUUGGAGUUUUCUUUGCACGCGUAUGUUUUAAACUUUUGGUGGAUGUAUGGUUGCAACAUUUUUGGCGGACUAAUUUGGUGGCCAAAAUAUUUAGAAAACUGA